GGACUACAGGGGUUUCUAAUCCUGUUUGCUACCCACGCUUUCGUGCCUCAGCGUCAGUUAUGGUCCAGUAAGCUGUCUACACCACAGGUGUUCCUCCUGAUAUCUACGCAUUUCACCGCUACACCAGGAAUUCCGCUUACCUCUCCCACACUCAAGCCCUACAGUCUUCCGCGCACCCUCCCAGUUGAGCCGGGAGAUUUCACACGGAACUUAUAGGACCGCCUACGCACUCUUUACGCCCAGUAACUCCGAACAACGCUUGCUGCCUACGUAUUACCGCGGCUGCUGGCAC
rnacentral:rRNA from 1 species